UUUAAUUUGUGGCUGCAGCAACAAGAGUGUUUUGAACAUCCUCCCGAAACAAAAAGGUAGAGUUUCUGUGAUAAGCGGUAGCUGUCAUCACCUAACGACAGAUAAGGAAACAAAAAGAAUCAGGAGAGAGAAGACACAGAGGACUGAGGAGACACCGAAAAUCCUGCUGAAAGCCCAUAGAAGAAGUUUCCUGAUGCAACAGGGGGGACACCUGAGGACACAGAAUAAAGAGACAGAGAUCAUGUGAAGUUGAUCAGCAUGUAGAAGCUUUUACUUUGGAAAUUGCUAUGAAGAUGCCAGGCUGCCUGUAGCCCCUUCCUGUGAAUAUUGAGCCUUUUUUUGGGUGAAAUUAGCUUCAAAAAAGCUACUUUGAUUACUUUUUUCCCACCUAAGAGAGAAGGAGCAGAAGAAUAAGGAGGAGGAGGAGGAGGAAUGAAUGACUGUUACAUAACAAGUGAAUCUAACACGUACUGCAGGUUAAUGACAUUUGACUUGUAGCACAGACACGCGUCUCUGAAUCCGCUGCAGAAGUGAUAAGAUCACAUGGAUGUCACAAUUUCUUCUUUUAGCUCAUCUUUUGAGACGGAUUCAGAUGGAGAAGUGGAAUCAAAAGCAACAGUGGAAACGGGUCAAACAAUGACGGAUGAGGAGCCGAUCACCCGCCUCACCCCCUCCUCCCAUCUGACAGAUGCCAAACACUGAGCCUCUCUCAUCGCUAUAAAACCUCCUCACCUCCAUCACUGUCAGGGACGUAAACAUCCUGAAGUGUCUGUGUUUAUCUGACUGGCUGAGGUGGAUGCAAAUACUCUGAGGAGCUCGUGACAGCGGAGAUGUUGGCAGGUGCGUUAGUUCUGGGCACCAUCCUCACAGCUUUACCAGGUAUGAGAGAA